rnacentral:lncRNA from 1 species
CGGGCCCCUGGAGCAUCCGCCCUCGACAAUGUUUGAAUACCAUCUUUGGGCGGCUUUAGAGAUCAUUUGACACAUCGUGUAGCCUCUCAGGAUAUUUUGAAGAAUUCUUCUCUGAUCGAAAAAUAUCCCUCUUUAUGAAUCCUGCCUUUCUAAGACGGGAACUAGACCUGGCUUUUUUAGUCUUCCUAAGAGCUCAGGCACAAGAAUAUAAUCCAGGAUCCAGAAACUAAAAUGAGAGACUUUUCUACAGAGGAGUGAUGUACAGAAGCAAGCAAGCCCUCACAGAAGCCACCUUUUGAGAGAGCAUGGUGUCUUAAAGGUGGCUGGCUUUUAUAGCUGGCGCGGGUGAAGAUUCUGGCCUUCAUUUCCAAGCAUCAAUUUUAUGUGGCAGUGAUGAAUGCUAUUUCAGCACAAUACAAUGCCUGUCGCUGGCAUUGAGACCAUGUUUUGUAAUGAGUUGGUUUGCAUAUGAUGCCUGCCAUUUCUGACCUUGAUUCAACUAAAGAAGAAGUCCAGCUGCUGUUAGGGCUCGCUGACAAUGCCAACUUCAUGGAGAGGACUUUCUUAACUGUUUUCGGUAUGACAAGGGAGAAAUGAUAAAGGUUGAAGACUAUCGAAGACCCGAAUAAUGGAAGGAAGUAAAUACUGAAAGGAGAAACAUGAAAGAAUUGUAGAUUUAGUGACACAGAAGACAAACUACAUUGGCUUGCUUUGAUUAACCCUAUUUCCCUUUAACUUGGUAAAGAUAAAAAUAUGAGCUACAUCUGGAGUAUUUUUGUCAUUCCUGACUGAAAAUACAGACAGCUGUGUUUUAGAUGAUUUAUGAAUAUUUUUAACGCAGAUUGUGUAAAGAGCUUCAGUCUCAGUGGAAUAAAGUAUGCUUGAC